UACGGAGGAUCCAAGCGUUAUCCGGAUUUAUUGGGCGUAAAGAGCGUGUAGGCGGCUUCACAGGUCCGCUGUGAAAACUCGAGGCUCAACCUCGAGCUGUCGGUGGAAACCGUGUGGCUAGAGUCCGGAAGAGGAGAGUGGAAUUCCCGGUGUAGCGGUGAAAUGCGCAGAUAUCGGGAAGAACACCCGUGGCGAAGGCGGCUCUCUGGGACGGUACUGACGCUGAGACGCGAAAGCGUGGGGAGCGAACAGG
rnacentral:rRNA from 1 species